CACCCAUGGUGCACUGUGAGCAGGUAUACAGGCCCACAGAGCAAGCAGAUAAUUAUCUGUGACACCCAUGGUGCACUGUGAGCAGGUAUACAGGCCAACAGAGCAUGCAGAUAAUUAUCUGUGACACCCAUGGUGUACUGUGAACAGGUAUACAGGCCCACAGAGCAAGCAGAUAAUUAUCUGUGACACCCAUGGUGCACUGUGAGCAGGUAUACAGGCCAACAGAGCAUGCAGAUAAUUAUCUGUGACACCCAUUGUACACCGUGAGCAGGAAUACAGGCCCACAGAGCAUGCAGAAAAUUAUCUGUGACACCCAUGGUGCACUGUGAGCAGGUAUAGAGGCCCAGAGAGCAUGCAGAUAAUUAUCUGUGACACCCAUGGUGCACUGUGAGCAGGUAUACAGGCCAACAGAGCAUGCAGAUAAUUAUCUAUGACAGCCAUGGUGCACUGUGAACAGGUAUACAGGUCAACAGAGCAUGCAGAUAAUUCUGUGACACCCAUUGUACACUGUGAGCAGGUAUACAGUCCAACAGAGCAUGCAGAUAAUUAUGUAUGACAGCCAUGGUGCACUGUGAGCAGGUAUAGAGGCCCACAGAGCAUGCAGAAAAUUAUCUGUGACACCCAUUAUACACUGUGAGCAGGUAUACAGGCCAACAGAGCAUGCAGAUAAUUAUCUGUGACAGCCAUGGUGCACUGUGAGCAGGUAUAGAGGCCCAGAGAGCAUGCAGAUAAUUAUCUGUGACACCCAUUGUAUACUGUGAGCAGGUAUAUAGGCCAAUAGAGCAUGCAGAAAAUUCUGUGACACCCAUUCUACUCUUUGAGCAGGUAUACAGGCCUAGAGAACAUGCAGAUAAUUAUCUGUGAUACCCAUGGUGCACUGUGAGCAGGUAUACAGGCCAACAGAGCAUGCAGAUAAUUAUCUGUGACACCCAUUGUAUACUGUGAGCAGGUAUACAGGCCAACAGAGCAUACAGAUAAUUAUCUAUGACACCCAUGGUGCACUGUCAGCAGGUAUACAGGCCAACAGAGCAUGCAGGUAAUUAUCUAUGACACCCAUGGUGCACUGUGAGCAGGUAUAGAGGCCCAGAAAGCAUGCAGAUAAUUAUCUGUGACACCCAUUAUACACUGUGAGCAGGUAUACAGGCCAACAGAGCAUGCAGAUAAUUAUCUGUGACACCCAUGGUACACUGUGAGCAGGUAUAGAGGCCCAGAGAGCAUGCAGAUAAUUAUCUGUGACACCCAUGGUGCACUGUGAGCAGGUAUACAGGCCAACAGAGCAUGCAGAUAAUUAUCUGUGACACCCAUUGUACACCGUGAGCAGGAAUACAGGCCCACAGAGCAUGCAGAAAAUUAUCUGUGACACCCAUGGUGCACUGUGAGCAGGUAUACAGGCCAAAAGAGCAUGAAGAUAAUUAUCUGUGACACCCACGGUGCACUGUGAGCAGGUAUACAGGCCAACAGAGCAUGCAGAUAAUUCUGUGACACCCAUUGUACAUUGUGAGCAGGUAUACAGGCCCAAAGAGCAUGCAGUUAAUUAUCUGUGACACCCAUGGUGCACUGUGAGCAGGUAUAUGUCACAGGAGAUCGUGGGCAGCGAUCACGGGCAAGGAGCAGGCAGGCAAGCGGGAUACGGGAAAACGGGGGUUUAUUCUUAGGAAUCGGGGCAAGGGACAUCAGACACAGACUGACAUCAGGUAACAUCAAUGACAGACAACGGGUUAGUACAAAACAGGAACUUAAAUACAUGGAACAAGGCAGCAGGAAAGAAGACACGACUGGGCACGAUCAGGAAAUCACACGUGGGUAAUUAGGGGGCGUGGCACACACGAGGAGCGGACGAGCCGGGCAUGACAGUAUACAGGCCAACAGAGCAUGCAGAUAAUUAUCUAUGACAGCCAUUGUACACUGGAAGCAGCUGUACAGGCCAACAGAGCAUGCAGAUAAUUAUCUGUGACGAGCAUUCUUCACUGUGAACAGGUAUACAGGCCCACAGAGCAAGCAGAUGAUUAUCUAUGACACCCAUGGUGCACUGUGAGCAAGUAUAGAGGCCCAGUGAGCUUGCAGAUAAUUAUCUGUGACACCCAUAGUGCACUGUGAGCAGGUAUGGAGGCCCACAGAGCAUGCAGAUAAUUAUCUGUGACACCCAUUGUAUACUGUGAGCAGGUAUACAGGCCAACAGAGAAUGCAGAUAAUUAUCUGUGACACCUAUUGUACACUGUGAGCAGGUAUACAGGCCAACAGAGCAUGCAGAUAAUUAUCUAUGACAGCCAUGGUGCACUGUGAACAGGUAUACAGGUCAACAGAGCAUGCAGAUAAUUCUGUGACACCCAUUGUACACUGUGAGCAGGUAUACAGUCCAACAGAGCAUGCAGAUAAUUAUCUAUGACAGCCAUGGUGCACUGUGAGCAGGUAUAGAGGCCCAGAGAGCAUGCAGAUAAUUAUCUGUGACGCCCAUUAUAUACUGUGAGCAGGUAUACAGGCCAAUAGAACAUGCAGAUAAUUAUCUGUGACACCCAUUGUAUACUGUGAGCAGGUAUAUAGGCCAAUAGAGCAUGCAGAAAAUUCUGUGACACCCAUUCUACUCUUUGAGCAGGUAUACAGGCCUAGAGAACAUGCAGAUAAUUAUCUGUGAAACCCAUGGUGCACUGUGAGCAGGUAUACAGGCCAACAGAGCAUGCAGAUAAUUAUCUGUGACACCCAUUGUAUACUGUGAGCAGGUAUACAGGCCAACAGAGCAUACAGAUAAUUAUCUAUGACACCCAUGGUGCACUGUGAGCAGGUAUACAGGCCAACAGAGCAUGCAGAUAAUUAUCUGUGACACCCAUGGUGCACUGUGAGCAGGUAUAGAGGCCCAGAGAGCAUGCAGGUAAUUAUCUAUGACACCCAUGGUGCACUGUGAGCAGGUAUAGAGGCCCAGAGAGCAUGCAGAUAAUUAUCUGUGACACCCAUUAUACACUGUGAGCAGGUAUACAGGCCAACAGAGCAUGCAGAUAAUUCUGUGGCACCCAUUGUACAAUUUGAGCAGGUAUAAAGGCCUAGAGAACAUGCAGAUAAUUAUCUGUGAUACCCAUGGUGCACUGUGAGCAGGUAUACAGGCCAACAGAGCAUGGAGAUAAUUAUUUGUGAUACCCAUUGUAUACUGUGAGCAGGUAUACAGGCCAACAGAGCAUGCAGAUAAUUAUCUGUGACACUCAUUGUACACUGUGAGCAGGUAUACAGGCCAACAGAGCAUGCAGAUAAUUAUCUGUGACACCCAUGGUGCACUGUGAGCAGGUAUACAGGCCAACAGAGCAUGCAGAUAAUCAUCUGUGACACUCAUUGUACACUGUGAGCAGGUAUACAGGCCAACAGAGCAUGCAGAUAAUUAUCUAUGACAGCCAUGGUGCACUGUGAGCAGGUAUACAGGCCCCCAGAGCAUGCAGAUAAUUCUGUGACACCCCUUGUACAUUGUGAACAGGUAUCAGUACUGACUACUUUUUAUACUGAGUCACAUGUUUUAUGUGAAUUACUUUGUACUGAACUGAAGGCCAGUAUUUGUCACUGUGAAUAUGUUGUUGCAGACGUCCAUCCAGAAAUCAGAGCUGGGGGAAAAGAUAAGGUCCUUAUUCCAAUUAAUUUUUGGUACAAAAAUAAAAGUGUCUGUCGCAGAUGGAGGAUUAUAUAUUCUAGAGGUUAGUUUCUUUUUAUUUUUAAG